GAUGAACGCUGGCGGCGUGCCUAAUACAUGCAAGUCGAGCGAACAGACGAGGAGCUUGCUCCUCUGACGUUAGCGGCGGACGGGUGAGUAACACGUGGAUAACCUACCUAUAAGACUGGGAUAACUUCGGGAAACCGGAGCUAAUACCGGAUAAUAUAUUGAACCGCAUGGUUCAAUAGUGAAAGACGGUUUUGCUGUCACUUAUAGAUGGAUCCGCGCCGCAUUAGCUAGUUGGUAAGGUAACGGCUUACCAAGGCAACGAUGCGUAGCCGACCUGAGAGGGUGAUCGGCCACACUGGAACUGAGACACGUUCCAGACUCCUACGGGAGGCAGCAGUAGGGAAUCUUCCGCAAUGGGCGAAAGCCUGACGUAGCAACGCCGCGUGAGUGAUGAAGGUCUUCUGAUCGUAAAACUCUGUUAUUAGGGAAGAACAAAUGUGUAAGUACCUAUGCACGUCUUGACGGUACCUAAUCAGAAAGCCACGGCUAACUCCGUG
rnacentral:rRNA from 1 species